rnacentral:rRNA from 1 species
UACGUAGGCAGCGAGCGUUGUUCGGAAUUACUGGGCGUAAAGAGUGUGUAGGCGAUGCUCAUAUGUCGGUGUGAAAUCUCCUGGCUCAACUGGGAGGGUGCGCCGGAAACUGGAGUGCUUGAGCGUGGGAGAGGAAAGCGGAAUUCCUGGUGUAGCGGUGAAAUGCGUAGAUAUCGGGAAGAACACCCGUGGCGAAAGCGGCUCACUGGACCACAACUGACGCUGAGGCGCGAAAGCUAGGGGAGCAAACAGG